rnacentral:rRNA from 1 species
AACGAACGCUGGCGGCAGGCUUAACACAUGCAAGUCGAACGCAUGCCUUCGGGCAUGAGUGGCAGACGGGUGAGUAACGCGUGGGAACCUACCCCUUGGUACGGGAUAGCUCCGGGAAACUGGAGAUAAUACCGUAUGUGUCCUGAGGGACAAAGAUUCAUCGCCAAGGGAUGGGCCCGCGUCGGAUUAGCUAGUUGGUGGGGUAACGGCCUACCAAGGCGACGAUCCGUAGCUGGUCUAAGAGGAUGAUCAGCCACAUUGGGACUGAGACACGGCCCAAACUCUUCCGGGAGGCAGCAGUGGGGAAUAUUGGACAAUGGGCGCAAGCAUGAUCCAGCCCUGCCGCGUGAGUGAUGAAGGCACUAGGGUUGUAAAGCUCUUUCACCGGUGACGAUAAUGACGGUAACCGGAGAAGAAGCCACGGCUAACUUCGUG